CCAUAUGGUCGACCUGCAGGCGGCCGCGAAUUCACUAGUGAUUACCGCGGCUGCUGGCACGUAGUUAGCCGGUGCUUAUUCUUCAGGUACCGUCAUUAACCCCCUGUAUUAGAAGGAGUCGUUUCUUCCCUGACAAAAGAGCUUUACAACCCGAAGGCCUUCUUCACUCACGCGGCAUUGCUGGAUCAGGGUUGCCCCCAUUGUCCAAAAUUCCCCACUGCUGCCUCCCGUAGGAGUCUGGACCGUGUCUCAGUUCCAGUGUGGCUGGUCGUCCUCUCAGACCAGCUACUGAUCGUUGCCUUGGUGAGCCUUUACCCCACCAACUAGCUAAUCAGAUAUCGGCCGCUCCAUGAGCAUGAGGUCUUGCGAUCCCCCACUUUCACCCUUAGGUCGUAUGCGGUAUUAGCGUAACUUUCGCUACGUUAUCCCCCACUCCUGGGUACGUUCCGAUAUAUUACUCACCCGUUCGCCACUCGCCACCAGGGUUGCCCCCGUGCUGCCGUUCGACUUGCAUGUGUAAAGCAUGCCGCCAGCGUUCAAUCUGAGCCAUGAUCAAACUCUAAUCGAAUUCCCGCGGCCGC
rnacentral:rRNA from 1 species